rnacentral:rRNA from 1 species
GAUGAACGCUGGCGGCGUGCCUAAUACAUGCAAGUCGAGCGAACGGACGAGAAGCUUGCUUCUCUGAUGUUAGCGGCGGACGGGUGAGUAACACGUGGAUAACCUACCUAUAAGACUGGGAUAACUUCGGGAAACCGGAGCUAAUACCGGAUAAUAUUUUGAACCGCAUGGUUCAAAAGUGAAAGACGGUCUUGCUGUCACUUAUAGAUGGAUCCGCGCUGCAUUAGCUAGUUGGUAAGGUAACGGCUUACCAAGGCAACGAUGCAUAGCCGACCUGAGAGGGUGAUCGGCCACACUGGAACUGAGACACGGUCCAGACUCCUACGGGAGGCAGCAGUAGGGAAUCUUCCGCAAUGGGCGAAAGCCUGACGGAGCAACGCCGCGUGAGUGAUGAAGGUCUUCGGAUCGUAAAACUCUGUUAUUUGGGAAGAACAUAUGUGUAAGUAACUGUGCACAUCUUGACGGUACCUAAUCAGAAAGCCACGGCUAACUACGUG